AGGGAGGAGGGAGAGACCGAAGAGAAAAAAGAGAAAUGGAAAGAACAUGAGCUCUCUCGCAGGGCCAGCUGUGCUUACUCUUCCCGUCUGAGCUGACACAGCAGAAAGAGGGGAAAGAUGGGGGCAAAGUGAAAGAACUGAAACACAGAACCAACUGCCCCCCCCCCCGCGGUGUCACAGGCCCCGCCAAGUGUGCCAGGUUCCAGCCCAUGAAGCUACAGGACCCCUGCCCAGCAGCCUCACAGUCAAGUCUGGACCUUCCUGGACCCCAGUGGCUCAGCCAGCCCCGUAUUACUGAACCUGACCCCGUGAAGAGCUCCGGUCUCUCCACACCUCCACUUACCACCUUCUGUUUCUAGAUCUAUCUCUGAACCUGGCAGAAAAAAACGCAGGGCCAGUUGCGCUCGCAGCACUGGCUUCCUCUGCAACCCUCCUUCCAGUUGCUCAGCAACAUGCCAGCAAAACAGCAGUCUCUGCCUCCCAGCUCCUCGCUCCUGGAAGCUCUGGCUGCCAGCCACCUACCUCACUCCUGCAUUCCCUGCCGCUGAUUCCCAAAAUGCACUCUUUGGGGGGGAAGGGGUUUUAAAAAUAUACAUAAUAUAGACCUAUAUAAUAUAUACUUUUGGUUGUGUUAUACAUAAUCAUGUAAUACAUUAAUAUAUCACACGCACAUACACAAACAUCUCUCUUGCAACCGUUAGAGAGGGAGAAACACACACAGAGUGCUCUGAUUGGGGUGGUGGGGGAGGUGGGCUGGGGCACAGGAAUUUUGUCUACAGGGCCAGAAAAAGGACACUGUUCUCUCUCGCUGUGCAUUUCCUACUUAAAAACUUUCUGUGCCACCUCCAACUUUUUAGGGACUGUCUCCCACCCAGUCUGGCCAGCAGGAAGGCGUCAGCCUGGGCCGCGAUGGAGAGCCGCCAACCCGCAACUGCAGCCCGCCGGGCACCUGCCUUAGGCGGAGUAGGGCUGCAACCGGUUGGAGGACUACCUGUGGGAAGGCCGAGGGGCCAGAGCCUGUGACGGUCAAAAGCUGCUGUUCGCGGGCCAGGGGCUGCACCCUGGUGUGCUCUUCUGCAGACUGGCAAACACGCAAAGUUAGGCGACUGUGUGUGCAGCUUGCAUUUAAUAAAACUCAAAUUGGGGUGCUCGUGA